ensembl:lncRNA
CAGCCUUAGAGAUCACCUGCUUUUGAGAGUUUCCAGGGAGCCCUGAGCCUCAGAAAAGUAGGUGUUCAGUUUAACUGGGCUGUAGCCUGGGGAGACUGCUCCAAGCAACAAUUGCUAUCUUUCUGUGAAACUACUGUUCGUGUGCACUGCAGAACUGACAGCUUCUGGAGGUCAUAGUCCUUAAAGGAGAGGGGAGAAAAGUGGAGUGUGGAGAACUUGCUCUCUGUCUUGCCAGGGUACCUCAGCUCUGCCCAGUGACAUUGAGGAAAGCUCUCUGCC